CCUUCGUCCAACCUUCCCCAAACCUCGCGUUCUUCCUCUCCCCGUCGAGCGCCGCCGCCGCCCCGUCUACGAUCCCAAUCCCACAGUCACGACUCGCUGCCCUCCCCUGUUCGCUGCAACUCGCACCUCACCUCAAUCGCCACCAGCCUCCCCCUCCAAUACAUCGCCUAGACCGCCAACGCCCGAUGCUCGCCCUCCGCUGGAUCGGCGCUGCCCGAUGUGUGGUAUGCGAGAGUCUGGCUGCAGCUGCGUGGCCAUGACACGGCUCACACGGUAGCGCAUGGCGUGUAUGCAGCAGCUCGCAAACAGCAGCGGGUCGACACGAGUGGCGAUGGGCUGUAGAGCUACGGCGAUGGCGGUCGUGCAGCAUAUGGAGCGACUCUAACAGGCAGGCUGCUGAGCGCGAGUAGGGCUCGGUAGAGCGCAUAAGUCCAGCACAUCGACGAGCGCAUCAUGGCCGGGCCAGCGGGGCAAUGAUGUACGCGGAGGUGGUGGUUCAUCUAUGUGCGUACUUAUCCUUACAAGAUCAGGGGGAUAGGAUGUUGUGGAUUGUUCUCUCCAGCUGAUCGAUUUGCACAUGGGACAAUCGAAGUGUGCCUAUGUUUGGCCGCCCCUGGCUGCCCCGUUCACAGAUAUACAGGUCGAAUUCUUCGUUCUUUAUUAUAGACCGGUUCAUGUGCUUUGACUCGUGAUCUGGGUUGGCGCAUCUAUUAUUUUCGGUCGCAAAUGUACGCUAGCUCAUGCCUCUCUUGGGUGAUAUAAUUUUUUGGGGGUUUCUCAUAAACUGCAGUGUAUGUGUUAUGCAGAUGAACAAAAACCAUUCAGGUUCUUUAUCCACCCAUCAGGUUCUCUACUAUACUGUAGGAGGAAAUCCUUUCUUAAUUUUUAUUGACCCUUCAAGCGGGAGUCUUUUAGAGGCAGCUUUCGUGCUUUUCCCUUUCGUUGGAACUGCAUGCAGAGUCUGAGUUCAUGGAGUGCCCUUGGCCUUUACAAAGAAGAAGAAUAAAUGUUUCGUCGUUGAUCUUUCUUAUGUUCCUAGGUGCAUUGUUUUAGGUUAUGCCCUCAUAUGCAGAGAUGGAAAAUCACACAUCUUGCAUCCAGCUUUCAAUGUGAAUAAAUUGAAUUUUGUUUCGAAGCUUGCCGAUGAAUCAAGAAUUUGUUUGUUGCAAGAAAAAAGAGAGCUGAUUUAAGCAUCAUUGUACUUCAAAACCUACACAGUAUUUAUUUCUGCAUUCAUUUGAAGAUGAGAAUAUACUCUGUUCAAUAUCGAGUGUCGAUCCAUUGUUUUUCUACAGGUAAGUAUUAUUUUUUAUUUCCUAAAAAGAAUUUGAAUAUCAUUUGAUCUGUUGUUGACUGAGGAUCGGCAUCUUCUACAGUAUGAUUUUAUGGUUUCUCCUUUUUUUAGCUUGGUCCUAAAAUGUACAGUAUGAUUCUAUGGAGUGCAUUAUGCCAAUGGAUUACUGCAUUUUUAUGUUAGUUUUUAGACUAUUUGAAUGCAAGGAGUAUACAGAAUCUCUUUGACAAUCUACGGCAAAUCAUUUUCUGCACAGAAAAUUCAGUACAUGCUUAUAUGAAUAUCUGCAAUACAAGAAGCAUAAUUUGUUCUUAUAUGUUGGCCUGCCGAUGGGUAUUUGCAGCCUUGCAUGCAUGUUUUUAAAAUGCUUAAUCCAAGCGCCACUUCUGUAGUAAAUAAGCUGAACUUUGAUUUAAAUAACUAAAUGUUGGUUUGCUGAAGUUUUCUUGUGACUGAAUUAUGGAACUUCCAUUGUGCAGUUUUUACAUAUGGUCAUGCAGUCAUUUUGGCUAUUUAUGUAACAAUACAUUGUCCAGUUUGCAAGACAUUCUGUCUAUAGGUUCUUCUUUACUUAUCUUGUGUUUAACAGGUUUGACUGUUGUUCCUCUACUAUACAACUUCAUCUUUUAGUAUCAACCAAUACUUCAUAGUCAGUACAUGGUUCUUCAAUACUGUGGUAACAAUUGAGGGGAAUAUUAUGAUUCUCUAAGCUUUAUGUUAUCCUACCAUACUAUCCAAUAAAAAUGAUUCUCUUCUUCAAUGCCUGUCUAACCACCUCUGACAUUUUAUUUGUUGCUCAGCUUGUACUCUUUUCACAGAGAGGUGUCGAGUUGUGAUGCAAGGCUUUGCCAUAUUGUUGGUGAAAAGAUGUCGACAUCGAAGACUAUAUACUCGGAUCGCAUGGCAUGUUUAGGAACCAUGGCUCUACUACUACUACACAUCCACUUGCCAUUGUAGUCAUCUACUGAAAUUUAGUCAAAAUCGAUAUUUGUAAGUUGAAAAUUUCUUUUUGGCGGGCUGAAAGGACGGAAGUUGAGUGGGAAGAGAUUGUUGUUAUUUAAGGCCAAUUAUUAUUGUUGAGUCACUUCCUCUUUC